rnacentral:rRNA from 1 species
UACGUAGGUGGCAAGCGUUAUCCGGAAUUACUGGGUGUAAAGGGUGUGUAGGCGGGUUUGCAAGUCAGAUGUGAAAAUUAUGGGCUCAACCCAUAACCUGCGUCUGAAACUACAGAUCUUGAGAGUGGGAGAGGUAAACGGAAUUCCCGGUGUAGCGGUGAAAUGCGUAGAUAUCACGCAGAACCCCGAUUGCGAAGGCAGCAUACCGGCGCCCGACUGACGCUGAGGCACGAAAGUGCGGGUAUCGAACAGG